UCCAUUUAUUUCAGAUUCCCACCCUUAAAGUGACUCUGUUAGUGACUAUAGAGCUCUGACAAAUGCUAUUACAAAACUACCGUUGUACCACCCCAUUCCCAUUCCCGUUUGGGUUUUGUGUUUUUUGCCCAACUUCCUAGCCUUUUUCCGGCCGCCCUCUCCACCGAAAAUCAUCCCCCACCCAACCAUUCGACUCACUGGGCCGCCCUCUCCAAAACCCCCAUAUUUCUCGACCUUGUUCAUCCUCUUUUCACCGUUGAUUGAAGGCCCUUUCCCUAGGGUUUGGUUGAGUUAAAUGAUGAUUGAGGUUAUGGUGCUUGUGUUAGGGUUAUGAUGUGGGUGGUGAGUUUUGUCGACAGGUUGGCACUGAAGGCUAGUCGGAAAGUCCUACGGCCGUGGAAGACGAAAAGUCGCUUAGAUGGGUUUUGCAGCAACUAGGAGAUGGUGUGGGUUUUGCGAGGGCUAGGAGUUGGUGUGGGUUUUCUGGCAGGUGGGAGAUGGUUUGGGGUUUUGCGGCGGCUAGGAGAUGGUGUUUGAGGUGGCAAAGGGUUAGUGGUAGGUUGUUGGCGGUGGAGUUGAGGAUCGAUUGGGUUGUUAGAAAAUUUUGGUAAAAAGACAUAAAUACCCUUUAAUCGUUAUAUUAAAUGAUUUUUGGUUAAUUUAAGGGUGGGAAUGUGGAAUUUAUGAAACAGGCGUGGGAAGAUGUCGUUGACUCAAAUCUACAAAGGCCACGACCAUCUAUCUAUAGGAGGACAAACUGAGUUUGCUGAGAGAGCUAAAUUAUGGCUACCAAUUCACCAUAUCUGAGCAUUUCUAUGAUAUUUCUAGCACUAUUAACAUCUGGAUCACUCAUAAUUGUCAGUCAUGCAUUCUCAAUAAAAGAAGCAACCAUAAGAGACAUCCACCUAGCUUUCAAGCUAAACAAACUCACAUCAAGGCAAUUAGUUGAGCUCUACCUUGGAGAAAUCCACAAGCUCAACCCCAAACUUAGAGGGGUCAUAGAGGUGAACCCAGAUGCAUUAAAGUUAGCUGAAAAGGCUGACCAAGAGCGUGAGGCUGGAGCUGCCAGGUCGAAGCUUGGUUUGCAUGGCAUUCCCAUUUUGCUCAAGGACAACAUAGCAACAAAAGAUAAGAUGAACACAACAGCUGGCUCAUUUGCACUGGUUGGCUCCGUCGUGCCACGGGAUGCAUUUGUGGUCACCAAGUUGAUUAAAGCUGGGGCUAUUAUUUUGGGAAAGGCUAGCAUGAGCGAGUGGGCUGGUAUUAGAGCUCCCCCCGGCUGGUGUGCUAGAACCGGCCAAGGAAAGAAUCCUUAUCUACCGUCGGCAGAACCUUGUGGGUCAAGUAGUGGAUCAGCAAUAUCAGUGGCAGCAAAUAUGGCAGCAGUGUCACUUGGAACUGAAACCGAUGGCUCAAUCUUAUGCCCAUCUAGCUAUAACUCAGUUGUGGGAAUCAAACCAACCGUUGGUCUCACUAGCCGAGAUGGUGUCAUCCCUCUCUCUCCAAGACAGGACACUGUUGGGCCUAUUUGCAGGACUGUAGCAGAUGCUGUUUAUGUUCUUGAUGCCAUUGCAGGCUUUGAUCAGAAUGACAAAGCAACCAGAGAGGCAUCGAAGUACAUCCCUCGCGGUGGCUACAAACAAUUUCUUAAUCCUGAUGGACUGAAAAGGAAGAGAUUGGGGAUAGUGAGGCAUAGAUUUUCUAGCACUGCAAACUCGACACAAGUUACUGAAGCUUUUGAGCACCACAUCCAGACACUAAGACAACAAGGUGCAGUUGUGGUGGACAACCUGAAAAUAACCAACCUUGACGAUAUAGUAGAACGCGAUGCAGGUGGUGAAGAAUUAGCAUUAGAGGCCGAGUUCAAACUGGCCUUGAAUACAUACCUUAAGGGAUUAAUUACCUCCCGAGUACGGUCAUUGGCAGAUGUUAUAGCUUUCAACAACAAAUUCUCAAAAUUGGAAAAGACUAAGGAAUAUGGGCAAUCUUUUCUUGAAUCAGCACAGACCACAAAUGGAAUUGACCAUGAAGUGAAAUCAGCAUUGUUAAACAUGACAAAACUUUCCAGAGAUGGUUUUGAGAAACUGAUGAAAGAGAAGAAGCUAGAUGCAGUGGUGACUCCUGCUGUAUAUAUUCGUCAUGUUCUUGCAAUUGGUGGAUUCCCAGGAAUCACUGUCCCAGCUGGAUAUGGUAGCAAUGGCUUUCCUUUUGGGAUUUACUUUGGGGGAUUAAAGGGUUCAGAGCCAAAGCUAAUAGAAAUUGCAUAUGGCUUUGAGCAGACCACAAAGAUUAGGAAGCCUCCUUCAUUUAAGAAUGAUAGUGUCUGACUUUGAGCUCCUGGAUCCAAUGCAAUAAAAAGAUGAGAAACAUAACCUAUUUCCAUAGAAGGUGUGUGACAAAAUAGAUCUGGAAUUAAUAUUUGGCUAUUGAUCAUGAACAUGCCAGACAUGAAAAGUCGAUGAGUUAUUGGCUAUUGUGAACACUGCAAUCAGCUCCAGAGGGAAU